CUGAAAUUGGCGGCUACCAUGCAGUCGAGGGGGAAGUUACUUUCGGGUAACUGAGACCGGCGUACGGGUGCGUAACGCGUAUACAAUCUGCCUUUCACUGGGGGAUAGCCCGAAGAAAUUUGGAUUAAUACCCCAUAGUAUAGUAGUGUGGCAUCACACAACUAUUAAAGCCUUGGUGGUGAAAGAUGAGUAUGCGUUCUAUUAGCUAGUUGGAGAGGUAACGGCUCCCCAAGGCGAUGAUAGAUAGGGGUUCUGAGAGGGAUGUCCCCCACACUGGUACUGAGAUACGGACCAGACUCCUACGGGAGGCAGCAGUGAGGAAUAUUGGACAAUGGUCGGAAGACUGAUCCAGCCAUGCCGCGUGCAGGAUGAAGGUCUUAUGGAUUGUAAACUGCUUUUGUAAGGGAAGAAUAAGGGCUACGCGUAGUUUGAUGACGGUACCUUACGAAUAAGCAUCGGCUAACUCCGUGCCAGCAGCCGCGGUAAUACGGAGGAUGCGAGCGUUAUCCGGAAUCAUUGGGUUUAAAGGGUCUGUAGGCGGGCUGGUAAGUCAGAGGUGAAAGCGCUCAGCUCAACUGAGCAACUGCCUUUGAAACUGUUGGUCUUGAAUGGUUGUGAAGUAGUUGGAAUGUGUAGUGUAGCGGUGAAAUGCUUAGAUAUUACACAGAACACCGAUAGCGAAGGCAUAUUACUAACAAUUAAUUGACGCUGAUGGACGAAAGCGUGGGGAG
rnacentral:rRNA from 1 species